GAGUCGUGCAGCUGCAUUCUGAACAUGCUGAAGUUUUUGCGGUUUUUUGGCAAGCCAUACAACAAAGAAUUGCAAAAAUCAAGUCUGGAAGAUAUAAGGCUUCGAUUCUAAGUGAGCAAGGUAGCCAAGACAAUUCGUGUUACAAACGAAUACAACACCAGACACAAGUGCAGUUUUUUAAGAAUGCUGUACCUACAUCGCCUUUAUUCCCCGUUGCUAAUUAUUCAGCGGACAGUAGACAGUCGACUGGUGUCUACGAUAGUAUUUACGAGCAGCCUAUCGACCCAAAAAGUACUGCUUAUUCAAAGCCAGCUGAUGAUACGCAUCCGACAAACGAAUUAUGACACAGUAAA